rnacentral:lncRNA from 1 species
UUGUAUCUGAUACACAACAGCAGUAUACUGCUUGUAUAUCAUUGUUCUCUGCUUUGUUGCAAUACAUAUUUUGCUUAAAUUAAACAUGCUACAUACAUAUGGUUACACAUCUACCAUGUAGUUCUUUUAGUUUUUUAAUGAAAAAUAAUAAGCUCUUACAUGUUUUAAGAGUUUAAGCUUUUCUUGAAAACUAUGAUGCACGGAUUCUUCAAAAAUUAGCAUGUACGGCGAAUCGGAUUCUUUUGGGGUGCGAUUCUCUCGGAUUCUAGUCGGAUUCGCACCCGAUUCGCCACGUGGCGUAUCUUUUAAAACAAUUUAUAAAAAUAAACCGGAUUCGCAAAUUCUAUAGGCGAAAUUCACGUAUCUCAUGCACGAAAGGCCUAUACAAGGUUGAUUUUGAUAAUUUUAUUGGACUAAUAAUAUUUGAAUCGUUAUAUUGUUGCCCAAUUAACUUAUAUAAUUGAAAAUGCUUAACUUUUGAGUAAAAUAAAAUGUAAAUUACAUAUAAUUAAUUUAAGAAAAUUUAAAUUGUAUAUAUUUUAUAAGCAUUAUAUAUAAUAAAUUUUUAAUAAUUAGAUGUAUCCUUGCCGAAUCGCACCCUAUAAUUUUUUAGAAACCCGUAUCCCCGUACUCGUAUCGUAUCGCCUCCGCAUCCGCACCCCCGCACCUAUGCAACAUAGCUUGAAAACAAUGACCAUAGUUUAUCUUCUCAAAAAAAAAAAAUGACCAUAGUUUAUAACUAACAUGCUACAUGCAUAUGGUUACAUAUUGGGUUCUUUUCCACAAAAAAAAAAAA